CCCUUAGAUGUUCUGGGCCGCACGCGCGCUACACUGAACAGUUCAACAAGUCUUAACCUUGGCCGAUAGGUCUGGGUAAUCUUUGAACGCUGUUCGUGAUUGGGAUAGACCUUUGCAAUUAUGGGUCUUCAACGAGGAAUUCCUAGUAAACGCAAGUCAUCAGCUUGCAUUGAUUACGUCCCUGCCCUUUGUACACACCGCCCGUCGCACCUACCGAUUGAAUGGUCCGGUGAAGCCUCCGGAUUGGCGCGCACCUCGGUGCCGCCGAGAAGUUGGCUAAACCUUACCAUUUAGAGGAAGGUGAAGUCGUANCA
rnacentral:rRNA from 1 species